UCAAUAGCGUAUAUUAAAGUUGUUGCAGUUAAAAAGCUCGUAGUUGAAUUUCGGGAUCAGUACGCUGGUCGUGCCUUCGGUAUGAACUGGUGUCACUGGUUCCUCCCUUCUGAAGAACUGUCAUGCCAUUAAGUUGGUGUGGCGGGGAAUCAGGACUGUUACUUUGAAAAAAUUAGAGUGUUUAAAGCAGGCUCGCGCUUGAAUACAUUAGCAUGGAAUAAUGAAAUAGGACGUUUGAUCCUAUUUUGUUGGUUUCUAGGAUCGACGUAAUGAUUAAUAGGGAUAGUUGGGGGCAUUAGUAUUCAAUUGUCAGAGGUGAAAUUCUUGGAUUUAUUGAAGACUAACUACUGCGAAAGCAUUUGCCAAGGAUGUUUUCAUUAAUCAAGAACGAAAGUUAGGGGAUCGAAGACGAUCAGAUACCGUCGUAGUCUUAACCAUAAACUAUGCCGACUAGGGAUCGGAUGAUGUUAAUUUUUUAAUGACUCAUUCGGCGCCUUACG
rnacentral:rRNA from 1 species